UACGGUCAUAUCGCGUUAACGCCGGUUCUCGUCUAAUCACCGAAAUUAAGCAGUGUUGAGCCUGAUUAGUACCUAGAUAGGUGACCGCUU